rnacentral:rRNA from 1 species
CUGGGGGGUGAGUGGCGAACGGGUGAGUAACACGUGGGUAACCUGCCCUUGGCUCUGGGAUAACUCCGGGAAACCGGGGCUAAUACCGGAUAUGACUCUGGUCUGCAUGGACCGGGGUGGAAAGUUUUUCGGCCAGGGAUGGGCCCGCGGCCUAUCAGCUUGUUGGUGGGGUGAUGGCCUACCAAGGCGACGACGGGUAGCCGGCCUGAGAGGGCGACCGGCCACACUGGGACUGAGACACGGCCCAG